rnacentral:rRNA from 1 species
AUGUUCCCAGCCUCCUCGUGUCCAUGUCCUAUGUUUGCAAAUAUCUGCGCAGAUCUCAACAAUUUCCGAUUUAAUAACCAAUUUAUAAUAAUCCUCCAUAAUUGUCUUCUUGAGGAUCAGUCUGGUCCAGUGCUGAACUUUGCUAGGGAGUUGGAGAAACUUCCAGUUUCCAACUUUACAAUAUUGGCCCUAAAUCUCAAUGCAGAGGGACAUGUUUUAGCAGCAUUUGUCUCGCGUAUCCUUGGGAUGCAUCACCUUCAAACUAGUAUACAAAGGCUUAAGGUUGUACUAUGCAACUGGUCUGAGAUGUCAAAAUGCAUUAAACAUUGUCCUUGUAAUGAGCCCAAGAACUGGAGGAGCCAUAGUAUCUCCUUGACGCGUCUUGAAGAAGUGGAAAUUUACAAAUUCAGAGGAGGGGAUCAUGAGAUUGAUUUGGUGACAAUGAUACUAAGUUGGGCUCCAAUGCUUACAAGAAUGACCAUCAGGCUAACUCAUGAGAUUAAUCCAAGUGACAUUGGAGAUUGCGCCAAGAGUAUUUGCAAAAUUUGUUUUGGUCAUCCUUUCAUUAACUCCUUCAUUUAUCUUAGCAAUGGGGAAUUGGUACCAUGCUCCCAGAUGUAA